GUCUCGCGCAUGACACGGUAUUUGAGUCGCGCAAUAAACAAACUGACGGGAGCCGCUUCGCUGGAGAACAGUGACAGGCUCUAAAACCUUCAGAUGACACACAGCUCAUAUCACCGUCGCUGCUGCUGAUUUCCUGUAUUAUCUAGUUCAGACCCCCCGACCCCAACUUUCAUAUGUGAGCUGCAGCUGUACGACUCCGUCUAGCAUUGGGUAAAAUAUCCUUAAAGCAAGUUUUAUUUGAGAAGCAAGAGAUGUGUAUUCAAUGGACAGAUGUUCUUGCAAGGUUCUCAAACUGUUCUGGACAACAUGAUCUUCAGGUUUUGUUCUGCUGUCAUUACAGUUUCAUCCAGUGUUUGCCCACAUGAGUCCUUCUGGAGCAGAGCGGCAGUAGAUCACCUGCUGAACAAAUUGAGCAGCAUCCCACAUACUGAAUUCAUUGCCUCUGAACCAAGGAGGAACGGCCUGAUCUCCCCCACUCUUCCUGUGCCUGUGAACAUCAGGCACAUCUGCACCAGCACAUCUGCUCCUUCUCAAGCUCUCUAGGUAGAGCAGAGCCAGCAUCAUUCAUCCUGGGAACAGCCAUGUUUGACUGCCUUGGAAUUCUAAAGAUAGGUUGAAUUAAAAACGCACUAUAAAUUACUCCCCUAA